CAGUCUCUCUCGGUUGAGAAUUUUCUAGUUUGCUGUGAACCUUGUUUUCUUAGGGAGUACUCCUGCUUCUUUUGUGAAUUGCAUCUUCUUUUUUACUCUGAGAAACAUUAUACUGUUUUCUUUUUGGUGCCUGUAUCUUAUUUAUCCUCCUAAUUCAUUUGUUCCAUAUAACUGCAGGUUUACCCUUUGACCCACAUCUCCCCCUUUCCUUCUCACCUUGGCCUCUGGUGAUCACUGUUUCUAUGUGUUUGAUGCUUUUAGAUUCCAUGAUAAGUGAGAUCCUGAACGCUCUUCUUUCUGGCUUAUUUCACUGAGCAUGAUGCCAUCAGCAACACCACAGUGAUCCUGGAGAAGAGGUAACCACUGCCUGCCCGUGGAGAUGGCAGUGAUUCAUGGGCUCCCCCACUCGCUGUUGGUAGACCGGAGAGGCAGGCGUUUUCAUCAAUUGCUGGUGAAAGGGUGAAAUGAUACGAACUUCAGGGAGGUGACAUCAUCAGCUACCUUUUGACCCUAGGUUCUACUUUAAAGGUAUCCUUCUAAUGUAAAACAAUACAUAGUAAAGAAAAAGGAAAUCAUUUCAUUUGCAGGAAAAUGAAUGGAACGAGAGACCACCAUGUUAGGAAAAAGCAGUCAAACUCAGAAGGUCAAGGGUCAUAUGUUUUCUCUCAUAUGCGGAAGCUAGAGAGGAAAAAGUAAAACAAAGAUAUAAAUAAAAUAUAUCCUUUGUGUAAAUCUUUUAGAUAUAUUGAGAUAUAUUUAUAGAUAUAUUUAGAUAUAUCAAAGGGAGAUGAGUAGAGGAAAGGGACCAAGGGGUGGGAGUUGCAUGGGUAUGUGUAUAAACAUUCAUCAAGGAGGGGGAAGUACUGGGGACUGAUCCUGGCCAAAUUAUAUUGUUAUAUUGUGUGCAUGUGCCAAUAUGCAACAAAAAAUCCCAUCCCAUCAUUCUGUACAACUAUGAUGCACCAAUAAAACUGUGGAAAAACA
rnacentral:lncRNA from 1 species